GAUUGCAGUCUGCAACUCGAGUGCAUGAAGCUGGAAUCGCUAGUAAUCGCGGAUCAGAAUGCCGCGGUGAAUACGUUCCCGGGUCUUGUACACACCGCCCGUCACACCAUGGGAGUCGGGAAUGCCCGAAGCCGGUGGCCCAAUCGAAAGAAGGGAGCCGUCGAAGGCAGGCCGGAUGACUGGGGUGAAGUCGUAACAAGGUAAC
rnacentral:rRNA from 1 species